rnacentral:lncRNA from 1 species
UAGGUUAUUAAAAAGAAAAAAUAUAGAUCUUAAUUAUUCUUUUUAUUUUUUGAUACGAUCUUUUUAGGAUCUAAAAAAAUAAAUUGAUGUAGGUAUAAGUAUAAAAGAUGAAUGGAUGAGGUUCGGAUAGAGUAUUAAAAGAUAAAUAUAAAAAUAAUUAAUUAAAAAAUGAGAAAGAAAGAGAGAGAAAAUGAGAAAGGUCAAAAUGGUG